rnacentral:rRNA from 1 species
GAUGAACGCUGGCGGCGUGCCUAAUACAUGCAAGUCGAGCGAACAGAUGAGGAGCUUGCUCCUCUGACGUUAGCGGCGGACGGGUGAGUAACACGUGGAUAACCUACCUAUAAGACUGGGAUAACUUCGGGAAACCGGAGCUAAUACCGGAUAAUAUAUUGAACCGCAUGGUUCAAUAGUGAAAGACGGUUUUGCUGUCACUUAUAGAUGGAUCCGCGCCGCAUUAGCUAGUUGGUAAGGUAACGGCUUACCAAAGCGACGAUGCGUAGCCGACCUGAGAGGGUGAUCGGCCACACUGGAACUGAGACACGGUCCAGACUCCUACGGGAGGCAGCAGUAGGGAAUCUUCCGCAAUGGGCGAAAGCCUGACGGAGCAACGCCGCGUGAGUGAUGAAGGUCUUCGGAUCGUAAAACUCUGUUAUUAGGGAAGAACAAAUGUGUAAGUAACUAUGCACGUCUUGACGGUACCUAAUCAGAAAGCCACGGCUAACUACGUG